AUGUCAGCUGGGAUGCACUUAAGCUUCCUGCAGCUGUUCGCCGUGGUUCUCGUGUUCUGCUUCGCACCCGCCAAGUCCGGCUACUGGCUCCCGGCCCAUGCCACGUUCUACGGCGGCGCCGACGGAUCUGACACAAUGGGUGGCGCGUGUGGGUACGAGAACUUGUACAACGCGGGGUACGGGAUCAACAACGCCGCGCUAAGCACGGCACUGUUCAACAACGGCUUGUCGUGCGCACAGUGCUACCUCAUCACCGACAAUGGCGGGUGGUGCAACCCUCCACGUGUCCACUUCGACAUGUCCCAACCCGCCUGGGAGAACCUCGCCAUCUACCGCGCCGGCAUUGUCCCCGUCCUCUACCAGCAGGUCGCGUGCCAGAGGCAGGGCGGCCUGCGCUUCACCAUGAACGGCUUCAACUACUUCAAGCUUGUGCUAGUGACCAACAUGGCCGGGAGCGGGUCGGUCAAGAGCAUGUUGGUGAAGGGAACCAACACGGCAUGGAUCCCCAUGUCCCAGAACUGGGGCGCUAACUGGCAGUGCCUAGCCGGGCUGACAGGACAGGCCCUCAGCUUCGCCAUCACCUCCUCCGGCGGCCAGUACAAGGUCUUCCAGGACAUGGUACCGGCCUGGUGGCUGUUCGGACAGACCUUCACUACCUGGCAGCAGUUCGACUACUAG
rnacentral:rRNA from 1 species